AUUCUCUAAAAUGACUGGGUACCAUUUCAGGACUGAUGUAUUUCCUAAAAGAUAUGCUGCCUUCGUGACCAUGGCAGCUGGGGCUGUGCAGCAGCCGCAGUCACAGUAGGCCCCGUCACUGCUGUAUAAUGCUGCAAUCCUGAAACCAUCUGAGCUGACUGACAGUCCCCAUGGGAUCCAUCUGGUGACAUCAAGCUGUAAGACAUUCCUUUGAGAAGUCUGAAGGAAGGAUUUGGGGAAAGCCUCUCACCCAGCUGCCCAUCAGCCCAGGAUCAGCUUCUGUGUUUGGAGAAAGAAGGCAUCAUUCAUGGUACACGCCUACAUCAAGGGAAGAAACUGCCUGGCUUUCCUCAAACCCAAGCUCCGAGUCCUCUGCCCUCCUCUAGCUACUGGACAUCUUAUGCUUUUUAUGGAGGUGGGGGAGGAUGUGAGAGGCUGAUGCUCUUCCUAACAUUGUGAGUGGAUCUUUCCCUUUUGGCUAUGCUGAGGGGGGUAGGCUACUGUCAGUUGGGUGUCAGCAUUCACAUCACCUUUCUCUCAAUGAUACUGCAUGUAAUUCAAAAUGUACAAUUAUAGUAUUUACACUCCACUGGAUACAGAGUGCCACUACUCACGAAGGGCAUGGAUGCUGGGGUGACUGGGACUGUAGCAGUCCUCAUGCUACCAAAGGCAGCCAAUCACAGACCAGAGAGCAACUGCCUUAUCCUUUUCCUUCACCCAACAGUUCAACCUCUCCACUUCUCAGACUAAAAGGUAAUGAUGAAACCAGUUAACCUUUCAGCAAAGUCUGUUUUUUCCACAAAAGUGUCGCCCCUUCUGUUUAUGGAGCCAACACUUCACUAGGUCAAGUUCCAUUUAUUUACGCAAAAGGGUGCUCAGGAACUUCUGUAAAUGGCUAGCCCCUGUAUCCAUGUGUAGAAUUAACUGGUCCUUGCGGCGGGGGAAACCUUUGCAUAUGUAUGAACUAUUUUCCUGUCAUUCUGAAUAUUACAUUAUAACAACUAUCAGACAGCAUUAGGUUGUAUUAGGCAUCAUACAAAAUCUUGUGACUACUCUAUAUGGGCAGUUAUAUGCAAAUACUAUACAAAUUUAGUAUUUAAGGGUCUUAAAUUUGUGUGGGUCUUGGCAUCUGUGGAGUUCUAGAACCCACCCACCUCAGAUACCAAGGGAUCACUGUCUAAUGUCACCAGGUAGAUACCCAUGGAACUUUACACAAACACUAGUACAAAGAAAUGGCUAAAAAAAGCCCAAGGUGCCAGGCAACUGAGUGUUUCCUCUGACCUCUGCCAUUAUUCACAGGGAAGGACACAUAAGUGUUUGAUUAGUAUGCAUGGCAGGGUCUAUAGCUUACAUUCGGAGAUGCCCUUUUUGUCUGAGACCAUGUUUUUCUAGUGCCGUGGCAACUUUGUUUUUGAAGCACUGGUCAGCAUCAAAGGGACCUGCUUCUCAAGGAGCCAUCAGAUAGUAGGGCUUUCUCAGCUGUGACAAGUAAAGGGAUCUAAAUGUCUCUUACCUGUUCAUACUACACUCCAGGGACUGCAGGAAUCUUUAAGAAACAGAGUGAGGGCCCACAAGAUGGUGCAGUGCGUAAUAUGCUUACCGUAGAGCCUCAUGACCCGAGAUCAAAUGGUUGAGAGAGCGAGCGAGCUUACACAGUUGCCCUCUGACCACCACGUGUGCGCUGUGGCUCAUGAACAGCCUUCAACCAAAC